rnacentral:lncRNA from 1 species
GAGCUUUCUCACAAAAGCUCAGAAAGGGCGGUUUCUGCUCUUUUCACCAGAGCUCUUGGAACCUGAGCCUGCCUGGAGUUAGUCUAAAGAAGCCUCAGUCCUAGACCUAAGAGGCUAGUUCACUCACACCCUACCAGCUCUUCGUGCCCAGGACAUAUUUGUGUGUGUGUUGAUUUCUGGGUUUGUCUCCAUGGGAGUCUGACAUAAUAGACAGCCUCAGGCACCUACCUCAACCGCUGCACUUCUGAGCACACAUUCCUUAGUGCUAUGACUUGAGGUCUUUCCCUCCAAAGUUCAGUCACAACCCAUUAGCAAUGAGAUGAUGUGGAGUGGCCAAGCCAGCUCUGAGACUGAGGCAGGUUUAAUUUUUUACCAAUCUGCUUUUAUACCAUUUUAACUACAUGCAAGUAUUAAAGUCAGCUCUAGGUUGUGAAACAAGCAAGGCACAAAGUCCUGUGAUCACUCCCUUGAGGUCUCUGUUUUUAAGGGCUUAUCAGGAUGGCCAAAAUAUCUGAGCCUACUUUCCUGUCCUAGCCUCAAAUCAGAUUCUUGCCUGAAGCCUAGUUCUUUGGUCCACCCAAAACUAGAUUCCUGCCUGAGCUUACUUCCUUGCCAUGGUCUAAUGUCAGGUUCCUGCAUGAAGCCCAUUUCCUUGUCCUUGGCCAAUGUCAGACUGCUGCCAAGCAACCCCCAAAGCUAUCCACAGUCGAGCUGUAAAAGAUGUUAGAUUAGUCCAGCAAGAUGGCUCCUCUGGGAAAGGAACUUGCUCCACAGGCGUCGAGACCUGAUUUCCAUCCUCAGAAUCCAGGUAAAGGCAGAAGAGGACCAACUUCACAAGCCUGCCUUGACUGUGGCACAAACCACAUACAUACAUCACACUCAUGCAGUAAUGGGAACCAAGACUUUUUAAGAUGUUAAAUAACACGAUCUUGGGGUUCAUGGUGUGUUCAGAUAUCCCGCAACAGCAAGUCAUUCAGACGAUCAGUGCUGCUCUCUUAGCAGGGGACACUCCUCAAGCAGGACUGGAUUAAUCCAUGGGAGCGAGCAGCUGAGCCGUGAGAAGCCAGAAAGCCUGAUGUGGUCCACCCCUUUCCCUGGAAUCACUCCUUUCCAUGUGGGCUGAAUGCCCACGUGCAGCUGUCUGAUCUCAGGAUUUCUAUCAUCCAGAGUAUUCUCUGGAAGCUCCAGCGGGGUUGGCCCAGCUCCUGGCUUCCUCUCCUGGCAACAGCCUCAGGUCUUUUUGAUGAAUUGAAUGAGAAGUGGAGCCCUCAGGUCCAGUCCUGAUCCUGCAGGUAAGCAGGUGCUUGCUCAUGAAGCUUACACAGAACUCAUGUGACCACGAAGCCAAGGUGGCCGAGAGAAGGCAGCUUCCUGGAAUCUCAGCCUUCCACCAGGCCAGGAGCCAGUCUGCUGCUUCUGUCUGCCUGUACCAAGCAUCUCCCUCAGAGGGAGGAGCCAUGGCCCCAGAAGAUGCUAAGCACUAAAGGAGGCCAUAUGCUUCUACCUUACCAGGUUUUCCGAUGCCCGUGGAGGUCAGAAGAGGGUACCGGACCAAUGGAAUUCAGGUGGCUGUGGUGAGCGCUGUGGGUUGUGAGAACUGAACCUGGGUCCUCUGUAAGAAGGACAAGAGCUCAUGACUGCUUAUCUUCUCUCUGGCCCCUCAUUUUACCUUCACGGGGUCUUGCGUGGCCCAGCCUCACCUCUGAGCUGCUGCUCAGAGAAGGUGGUGGAGAGACUUCAAAGAAUGAAACAAGAUGGCGUGACCCCGGGCCCUUUGAAACUGAGCCAGACCUGGAAUCCAGCCCCUGCCUGCUUUCUUCUGCACUGAAGAAUAAGGACCUUCUAAGCCUUGUGUAUCCGCUCUUCCUUAGCCUGGGAUCGGGGGUUCAAGACCAUUCUCGCCCACUACACAGCAUGUGUGGAGCUGGGCUGGUCACGUGAGAACCCUGCCUUAAUUAAUUAAUUAAUUAAUUAAUGAGUUU